rfam:Myotis lucifugus cont2.26623, whole genome shotgun sequence.
GGUUGGUUCUUGGGUGACACACCCCGGAAUUGGGCUCCCUCCUCUAUGGUUCUGGGUGCAUCACCCGAGAACCGCA